GGCGGAGGUUGCAGCGAGCUGAGAUUGCGCCACUGCACUCCAGUUUGGUGACAGAACAAGACUCCGUCUCAAAAAAAAAAAAAAAAAAAAAAUCAUCUCCACUAUAGAAUUUCAGAAAAGAGGUUGUAUAAUCUUGGGAGGUCACUUCAACUAUACAAUUGGACUAAGAACACUGACUCUCGUGGGUGUUAUAAUUAAAUCAGACAUAAGCUGGCGAUGACUUUUUUGUACAAAAGUUACUGAUGAAAAGCUCAUAGAGGCAUUUGGAUUUCUUCAGGGUUGUAAAUCCAGGUAUGUUACUACUUUAUCUACUGGAAAUUGGGGUAAUGCAGGAGAUGGGAAAGCAUGAUGUUAAAUCAACUGGUGACCCCAAAUAAUUUUCCAUGGUGUUCAUCAGCCAUGCACACACUGUAUUACUGUCAUCAUUCCUAGCUUUUCCACUAUGCUGUCUCAAGUUUGCACAAAUUGUAAGUGAUUUUAAAUCAUUAACUGAUGUGACAUAAUCAAAUUACUUAGGGUUUUAUUUACUGUGCUCCGAGUAAUUCAGUUAUGACUUGGCAAGGUAUUUAACAGACAAUAGUGAAGUUACUACAAAUUCAACUUUGCAUUGGACAACUCCAUUUGAGGAUACCACCACCUUCAAAUUAACAAUUCCAGAAACUGGUCUCAGUAUCUCGUUCCAACAACAAGCAUCACCCACUACAAUAAAAACAGCAAGUAGAAUCUUUUUACUUCUUUUGUGUUUCUCAUCUCGGCAAACUGCACUACAAUCUACCAAACUGCCCGAGCCAGAAACCUAGAGGUCAGGCUGGAUUUUCCUGAGGACAUGAGGUGAAGAAGCAACCACUGCGAAGUACUAAGAAAGAUAAUGCUUGCUAACCACCGUCCUUCAAUGAUUGAGGCUCUCUACUUGAGAAAGGACUUCUUUCUGUUGCCUCG
rnacentral:lncRNA from 1 species